CCCCCGUUCCCCUUCAACCCUGGCGCGAAAUCACCAUAUCUGUCCCCCAGCCCCCUCCUUGUUUCUGUCGAUUUUUCCUCUACUUUUCUACGCUCUUGCCUUCCACGAUCUCACCCUGCUUCUCCCUUGGUGUCUUUCUAUCCAGGAACAAGAUUUCAUUCCUCAUGCUUCUUUCUAUCCAGGAACAAGAUUUCAUUCCUCAUGCUAUUCUUGGUUGCUUCGCUGAAACAUUGGAUUUUGUCCGCUGGGUUUUGCUACUGGAGGCUUGGAUCUCGAGCUCUCGUUGCGAUUUCUACAGGAGGGCUGGGUAUCUAUCCGGAUUUUUCUGGGUAAGAAUGGUCGCAACCGGUGCCUCUUCGAAGGUUCCUGCCUCAACGUUUGGAACUUCUGCUCUCGGUUGGAAAGAAUUCUUUUUCUGGGUUCUGGGAACGACUUCAUUCUCAUGCCCUCGUAAAACCAUCUUUCCUCUCGGGUUUCGAUGCUAAUGUCUUUCUCUAGCUGAAAGAUCGGAAUUUUGGCGAGAUUUCGCUACGGGAGGUUCGGUCCUCUAUCUAGUUUCUCUUUAUGUCUUUUGUAGAGAUUUUGAUAAGAAGAUUGGAUAUCUAUCUAGUUGCUCUUUAAAGAAUCUUGGAGUUCGCUGCGAUUACGACUGAUAGUAAGUGAUUCUUUGCCUCUGCUUUAAGAUUCUUCUCCCAAGGGUUCGGGAUUUUUGCUCUCGCUUGGGAACAAUUGUUCUUGUUCUGGGUUCUUGGAGCGAUUUGGAUCUCUUCCCUUCGUCAAACCAUCUUUCAUCGUGGGUUUCGAUGCUACUGUUUUUUCCUGGCCGAAAGAUUGAAUAUUCCGCUGAAUUUCGUCGCGGGAGUUUCGGUCCUUGAGGUAUCUCUGCGAUCUCGAAGGAAAAGAGCAUAGAUAUUUAUAUGGGUUUUGUUGCAAGUAAUUUUUUUUCUUUUUUCGACUGGUUCUCGUCGCAUUGGUCUUCCUUGCGCCCACUCUCGGACGUGGGCGAGAUCAUUAAUGAUUCCGGGGCGUCAAGUUUCCUAAUAUCUUGACUCUCCGGGUGUCAUUCCUUUGCGCAAACGUAUGUUGCUUCGACGUGUCAUAAGCUGGAAGCCCUAAAUUUCUCUUUCCUUAUGUGUCCAGAAUGUUGCACCCUUUUUUUCUUCUGGGUAAUGCUACAUCAUUUCGUUGUGAUGUUAACGACUGAUUGGCAAACCGAUCCUCUAUUUUGACGCAAGAAAGGCAAUGAGGGGAUUUCUUUGGCUUGUGGUGGUGGUGUACUUCUUGAGUUCAGAACAGGUGGCCAUGCUGCUGUUGAGGACACUGGAAUUGAAUGCCCUUCGUUUCAUGGCAUCGGCACCGAUCAAUAAGAAAUGCCCAAAAGGGAAUGGGAACAUGUGGGUGCUGGAUCUGAAGCUCGAUAAUAAGCCCAUGGAUGAAAAGACCAGCAGAAAUUCGGGUUAUGGAUGGAGACAAGGGUCUAGAGGUGGUAAUUGGAGACUUGGGCACAUCACUGCUGUAGGUUUUCUACAACACAUUUCUGCGUGGAGUGGAGGACCCUGAGGAUGUUAUAGGGGCUCUUUCACGGAUCAUAUGCUCUCUCACAUUCAUUGUACUAUUUAAAUAUGUUCUCAUAGUCUUUAAGGAAAAAUGAGAAUGGUCAGGGUAAGUUCUCUCUUUCUUUAUUAAUUUCUAUUGUGUUAGAUGUUGCUACAUUAGAAAACUAGGAAUUAAUUCUUGUUAGAUUGGAAUAGUUUUAAAUUGGUUGGCUGGUAAAGUUGAGACUGACCAUUGUUAUAUCUUAAUGCUCUUUUCUCUGUUCAUAUAAUAAUUCCUUUUUUUUUUCGUGGAAGACAUGGUUUCAUAUGUGGUUAUUAUAUAAGCAGACUGAAAAGAGAUAAUUUGCUGUCUUUUUGGUAAGUACUAAUUUGCUGUCCUUAAAAUUUUAUAUUAUUGUUCCCUCCAUUGGUAUUAUGUUAACAUAAACCCCUGUGCGAUGGUUCACUGCUCCACUAUCGAGCAACCUAUUUUCUUGCUUCAGGAUUCUGCCCUGGAGUAGGUGAUGUGUGUGUGAACACACAUAUGACAUGCACACAAAUAUACAUUUGCAUGUAGAGAAUUAUACAUGUUAGUUAUACAUGUGGGAACAUGCAAGAUGCAUGUUUUGUAUAUGCAAAAAUCUAUACAGACUCACAAACACUUGCAUGCAUAUAAGAAUAUGCAUUUGUCAUUUGUCGCUGCGUGCAUGGAUGUAGAGAAAGAUUAUCUAUAAUUGAGUUUGUUUUAUGUGAUAAAUAAUUUGUUUCCAAGAGGCUCUUCCCUAUCUAGUAUCUAUGCACUCUUAAAUGUUGGAGGUAACAUUUUCAUCUUGCUUCAUUGAACUAGGCUAGUGGUGCUGAGGUGGAGGCAUAUGGUAAAAAGAAAGUAAUCAUUAAUUAGUUGGAUUGUGUUGAGUGCAUAUGGCUUUUAGAGAGUGAGGAGUGAUGAUAUAGUCUCAGCAAAUAUAAUAGAAGAGGGUAUUUGGUGUAUGCAUGUGCAAGUUGGAAGGGGGGAAGCUGGUGUGUAUCUCUGAAUAGACUGUCACCACUAUGCCUAUUCAGCCAAAUUUAAGUCUUCAUGAUGUGUGUGACAUAUAGAAUGGUUAGAGGUAACUGAGUAAUUAUAGGUGUGGUGUGCCAACUUCAUGUUUAGGAGAUGUUCACUUGUUGUUUAAAUGCGUUUAACCAUCAUAGCUGACAACCUUAUACUCAUAAUCACUUGGAUGAGGUGUUUGAAUAUGUGCAUAUUUAUGCAUCAUUUUUGUCUCUCUGUAUUAACACUUGUGCAAGAUUUGAAUAGGUGCAUUCAUGCUUCACUACUGACCCUAUGUAUUACAACAUGUAAGAUGGAAGUGAGAUUUUCUCUAGUUGUUGCAUAGCAUCAGCUUUAUAUAUGUGGAAACACAGCAGCUCCAGCUGUUACUUUGGAGGUGGCCUUAUCAUGUUGUGUAACUGGCAAAAGACAGGGUGCCGACCUGCCAAUAUCAUGUACAUGCUUUUAUGACGAUGAGACAUGAUGCCAAUUAUCUUUAUAUUCAUCAUGGUAAGUUAGUUGACAUCGGUGCACAAAUAAGACAUCAGACAACAAUGCUUUUGUUUUUAGUCAUGUUCGACAAAAAAGCAUUAAGCAUUGAUUGCUUGCCUCUUGUCAAGUUUUGCUGUAAGAAAUGACAAUUUAAAUAACAGAAGGUAAGUCAAUGUUUCCUCUAAGAAGCAAGCUCAUUCAAAAGCUGUUAUACAUUUGCUUGUAUUGCAAAUUCGUGGUUUUUGUUCUGAUGCUCUUGUUCGGAAGUUAGAAAAUGCCUUCUCUUUCUAACUGAGACCUGAGUUUCCUUUUGCCUUUGUGGUCUUUCUGUUAAAUUUUGGUUUUCUUUCUGCCUUGAAACCCUACCCACUCUAAGGAAGAGGAACGGCUUCUUCAUCGCCCCUUUCAGUCACUGCUAUUAAUGUGAUGAUGAUCUUGUAAAUCUAACUUAGAAGACUCAUGGAUUUGAAAUCUUUAAUGUGAAUGAGAAUUUUCAAAGUAGUACUGAGGCAUUUGCAAGUUCUGUCAUUAUGUAAACAUCCUUGAGACUGAGGUUUGGUUGAUCUGAUGGAAGGCACAGCCAUGUGUCUACAGAACUCCAUACAGGAUGAUCCCCAUUGUGGUCAUCAGUAUGGUGCCUGCCUGAAAAUACGCUUGCUAAGAUCAUAAAUCUACCAAAGAAAACAUCAGGAAAUACUAUGCAUGAAUUCAUCGGUAUAUUUCAAUUGAUGUUCUGUAUUGUUUUCAGUUCCAAUGAUGUGCAUUCACAAGGCAAUCAAUUGAUGGAACUCUAAACACUUCAUAAGUAGAUUAAUUUUUUAAAACGGGUCCCAAGUAGUAAAAUGUGAUAGUAAAUGGUAGGAUUGUAUACUUGUUGAUGCAUUGUUUAUCAUCUGUCCUUUCUAAUAGUUCUCAUUGCUUUCCAUUUUGAGCAAGAAUUAUCUGUUCCAUAUUUUCUAGGUGGGUCAUUUGCACUUUAUUCAUUACUUUGCUGGCAUGCUAAAAUAAAAACUAUUCCUAACCAUCAUUGGACGAUAAACAACUAAGAACCUACAGUUGUCAAACCUUUGAUGAGAAUUUAUUAGCUGCAAAAGUCAACCAAUGGUUAGAGGCAUAUGCAUAUAACAUGAAAGCUGUUCUUAAUCUAGUUCUUAUUGGUACCUCUAUAGUCAUUGGAGAUGGCAUUCUCACUCCUGCUAUAUCAGGUUUUUCUCAUUGUUACUCCUUUGCUCUGCUUUCCAUUUUGUUGCUUUUUCCCCAUGUUUUAUCUGUAUACCUAAUUCAUCUCUCUCAUAGUUCUGUUUUUUUUAGCUAUCCAAUUUACACAAGCCUAUAUAUUGAUUAUGAGCCAUGAUGAUUUUGUAUAAUAUGAUUGGCUUUAUCAUUUUUUUUUUUCUUUUGUCUCAUGAAGAUGCUAGGUUGCUGAUCAGCCACCAUGUUUAAUUAACUUUUUUUUAUUUUUUAUUAAUCAAAAACUUAUUAACUUGUGCAGUGGACUUUUAACAUAUGGGAUGCCAAUGUUUGGCAUGUAGAUGUCUUGGCGGUACCUGCUUAUGAAAUAAAUAUUUCACUAAUUAGUCAAAUAAUUCAAUAUUUUUCUAUAAAAAUUAAUGAGUUAUCCAGGGCUUGCUGGAGGGGGUACCGGCUGGCGAGUGGUUCAGUAUGGUAUGGAUAUGUAUCAUGCUGUUCCAAGGCAUACCAAGACAGGGAGAGCUCUAGAGAGAGAAGGGGGAUGGAGGGACCAUCACGAGCAGCCGGGAGGAAGGUGCAGGAGGUACUCUCAAGAGUUUUCUGAGCUAAAGAGGGGGCGCACUCUCGAUUUUUCUGAGCCAGGGAGGGGAACUGAAUUAAACGCCUGAACAGUUCUGGUUCCUGACCAGUCUGGUUUGGCACUCCCAUAACCGGCUGGUUCAGCAUGUUUCAGCAAACUUUAGAGUUAUCCAUUGAAUGAGAAAGCUUGUUGGUUAAUUUUGUUGUUUCCCUUCUAGUUUAUAGCAAUUUUGUCUGUUGUAUUCAUGACUAGAAAGAACUAUCAAACCUUUUCCUUUCUCUUUUGAAUUGAAAAUUCAGCCACAUGUGUGACAAACUAUUGUUAAACAAUUUAAAUUUUCAUGAAAUUGAAAACUUCCCUUGGCAAAAUCA